rnacentral:rRNA from 1 species
UCGAACGAUGAACUGGAGCUUGCUCCAGGGAUUAGUGGCGAACGGGUGAGUAACACGUGAGUAACCUGCCCUUGACUCUGGGAUAAGCGCUAGAAAUGGCGUCUAAUACCGGAUACGAGCUUCAGCCGCAUGGCUAGGAGUUGGAAAGAAUUUUGGUCAAGGAUGGACUCGCGGCCUAUCAGCUAGUUGGUGAGGUAAUGGCUCACCAAGGCGACGACGGGUAGCCGGCCUGAGAGGGUGACCGGCCACACUGGGACUGAGACACGGCCCAGACUCCUACGGGAGGCAGCAGUGGGGAAUAUUGCACAAUGGGCGAAAGCCUGAUGCAGCAACGCCGCGUGAGGGAUGACGGCCUUCGGGUUGUAAACCUCUUUUAGUAGGGAAGAAGCGAAWGUGACGGUACCUGCARAAAAAGCACCGGCUAACUACGUGCCAGCAGCCGCGGUAAUACRUAGGGYGCAAGCGUUGUCCGGAAUUAUUGGGCGUAAAGAGCUCGUANGCGGUUUGUCGCGUCUGCUGWGAAAUCUGGGGGCUCAACCCCCANCCUGNAGNGGGUAC